rnacentral:rRNA from 1 species
AUUGAACGCUGGCGGCAUGCCCUACACAUGCAAGUCGAACGGCAGCACGGGGCAACCUGGUGGCGAGUGGCGAACGGGUGAGUAAUGCAUCGGAACGUACCUUUCAGUGGGGGAUAACGUAGCGAAAGUUACGCUAAUACCGCAUAUUCUGUGAGCAGGAAGGCAGGGGAUCGCAAGACCUUGCGCUGAUUGAGCGGCCGAUGUCAGAUUAGCUAGUUGGUGAGGUAAAGGCUCACCAAGGCGACGAUCUGUAGCGGGUCUGAGAGGAUGAUCCGCCACACUGGAACUGAGACACGGUCCAGACUCCUACGGGAGGCAGCAGUGGGGAAUUUUGGACAAUGGGGGCAACCCUGAUCCAGCCAUGCCGCGUGAGUGAAGAAGGCCUUCGGGUUGUAAAGCUCUUUCGGCCGGGAAGAAAUCGCACGGGCUAAUACCCUGUGUGGAUGACGGUACCGGAAUAAGAAGCACCGGCUAACUACGUGCCAGCCGCCGCGGUAAUAC